rnacentral:rRNA from 1 species
CCUACGGGAGGCAGCAGUGAGGAAUCUUCGUCAAUGGGCGAGAGCCUGAACCAGCCAAGUCGCGUGAAUGAUGAAGGAUCUAUGGUCUUUAAACUUCUUUUAUAUGGGAAUAAAGUGAGGAACGUGAUUCUUCUCGUAUCUACCAUAUGAAUAAGCAUCGGCUAACUACGUGCCAGCAGCCGCGGUAAUACGGAGGAUGCGAGCGUUAUCCGGAUUUAUUUGGUUUAAAGGGUGCGUAGGUGGUUAAUUAAGUCAGCGGUGAAAGUUUGUGGCUCAACCAUAAAAUUGCCGUUGAAACUGGUUGACUUGAGUAUAUUUGAGGUAGGCGGAAUGCGUGGUGUAGCGGUGAAAUGCGUAGAUAUCACGAAGAACUCCGAUGGCGAAGGCAGCUUACUAAACUAUAACUGACGCUGAAGCACGAAAGCGUGGGUAUCAAACAGGAUUAGAUACCCCUGUAGUC